AAGUAAUGAGGAAGUAGCUGAGCUGGAAGUCACAGAUAAUAUUUGUAGAACAAUCACUGGGAAUAGGCUGAAGCAAUGGCCUUGUCAAAUGAAACUUUCUGCAUCACAACUAUCUCCUUUAUAUGCAGUUCUGAAUAAGAUUGUUGUUGUUAAUUGGGUUCCUACCACUCAUUCCAGUAAUGUAGCCAAAGAAUUGGCUAGGUUCAUUUAUG
rnacentral:lncRNA from 1 species